rnacentral:rRNA from 1 species
GACGAACGCUGGCGGCGUGCUUAACACAUGCAAGUCGAACGGAAAGGCCCUGCUUUUGUGGGGUGCUCGAGUGGCGAACGGGUGAGUAACACGUGAGUAACCUGCCCUUGACUUUGGGAUAACUUCAGGAAACUGGGGCUAAUACCGGAUAGGAGCUCCUGCUGCAUGGUGGGGGUUGGAAAGUUUCGGCGGUUGGGGAUGGACUCGCGGCUUAUCAGCUUGUUGGUGGGGUAGUGGCUUACCAAGGCUUUGACGGGUAGCCGGCCUGAGAGGGUGACCGGCCACAUUGGGACUGAGAUACGGCCCAGACUCCUACGGGGGGCAGCAGUGGGGAAUAUUGCACAAUGGGCGGAAGCCUGAUGCAGCAACGCCGCGUGCGGGAUGACGGCCUUCGGGUUGUAAACCGCUUUCGCCUGUGACGAAGCGUGAGUGACGGUAAUGGGUAAAGAAGCACCGGCUAACUACGUGCCAGCAGCCGCGGUGAUACGUAGGGUGCGAGCGUUGUCCGGAUUUAUUGGGCGUAAAGGGCUCGUAGGUGGUUGAUCGCGUCGGAAGUGUAAUCUUGGGGCUUAACCCUGAGCGUGCUUUCGAUACGGGUUGACUUGAGGAAGGUAGGGGAGAAUGGAAUUCCUGGUGGAGCGGUGGAAUGCGCAGAUAUCAGGAGGAACACCAGUGGCGAAGGCGGUUCUCUGGGCCUUUCCUGACGCUGAGGAGCGAAAGCGUGGGGAGCGAACAGGCUUAGAUACCCUGGUAGUCCACGCUGUAAACGGUGGGUACUAGGUGUGGGGCCCAUUCCACGGGUUCCGUGCCGUAGCUAACGCUUUAAGUACCCCGCCUGGGGAGUACGGCCGCAAGGCUAAAACUCAAAGGAAUUGACGGGGCCCCGCACAAGCGGCGGAGCAUGCGGAUUAAUUCGAUGCAACGCGUAGAACCUUACCUGGGUUUGACAUGGAUCGGGAGCGCUCAGAGAUGGGUGUGCCUCUUUUGGGGUCGGUUCACAGGUGGUGCAUGGCUGUCGUCAGCUCGUGUCGUGAGAUGUUGGGUUAAGUCCCGCAACGAGCGCAACCCUUGUUCACUGUUGCCAGCACGUUAUGGUGGGGACUCAGUGGAGACCGCCGGGGUCAACUCGGAGGAAGGUGGGGAUGACGUCAAGUCAUCAUGCCCCUUAUGUCCAGGGCUUCACGCAUGCUACAAUGGCUGGUACAGAGAGUGGCGAGCCUGUGAGGGUGAGCGAAUCUCGGAAAGCCGGUCUCAGUUCGGAUUGGGGUCUGCAACUCGACCUCAUGAAGUCGGAGUCGCUAGUAAUCGCAGAUCAGCAACGCUGCGGUGAAUACGUUCCCGGGGCU